rnacentral:rRNA from 1 species
AUACGGAGGGUGCAAACGUUGUUCGGAAUUACUGGGCGUAAAGCGCGUGCAGGCGGUUUGGUAAGUCAGAUGUGAAAGCCCUGGGCUCAACCCGGGAAGUGCAUUUGAAACUGCCUUUCUUGAGUAUGGGAGAGGAGAGUGGAAUUCCCAGAGUAGAGGUGAAAUUCGUAGAUAUUGGGAGGAACACCCGUGGCGAAGGCGACUCUCUGGACCAAUACUGACGCUGAGACGCGAAAGCGUGGGGAGCAAACAGGAUUAGAAACCCCAGUAGUCC